AUGAAGUCACUUAUGACUACCAUGCACCUAGGAAUGGUGAUACCACAAGAUAUCCUAGAAGAACUUUCAGGCCAGAGUUUGGUGAUAUCUUACUGUUUUUUUAUGCAAGGAAGAGCCCUGGUAUGUGACACAAAAUUAUGUGAGUUAAUUCUGCUUUGGGGAAAUCACAUAAGAAGCUGAUUUUUCAGGUAGUGAGUCAAAUGAAGACCUAUCCAUCCAUCCAUCAUUGUUUUGAGCAAAAAAGUAGACAGUUUUGAAAGCAAGGUGUUGUCUUCUGAGAAAGCACCAACUGGAGUGGGUAGUGGGGUGUUGGCCAGGACACUGCCCGACAUCAAGAUGCUGACUUUGUGUUCCUGGACCAAAUUGGCAGCAGGGACCCCAGGGGGUGCCAUUCUGAAACUGGUGUGUGUAUGUUUCUAAAGAUAACUUUAUCAUGUUACUCAGAAUGUGCUUAAAUUAAUCUCGGGUAUAUGGGAAGCAGCCAGCCCGGUGAUCUAGUGGUUAAGAUUCAGCGCUCUCACCCUGCAGUCUGGGGUUCGUUUCCAGGUCAGGGAACCACGCCACUUGUCUGUCAGUUGUCAUACUGUGGCAGCUGCAUGUUGCUGGGAUGCUGAAAGCUAUGCCGCCGGUUUUCAAACACCAGCAGGGUCACCCAUGGUGGACAGGUUUCAGCAGAGCUUCCAGACUAAGACAGACUAGGAAAAAGGACCUGGCCAGCCGCUUCUGAAAAAAGUUGAUUGUGAAAGCCCUGUGAAGGGCAGUGGAGCAUUGUCAAAUACAGAGCUGGAAGGUGAAAGGAUGGAGCCAAUAAAGACUGGGUAGGCUCACUAGGAGUCAGAGUCGACUCCACAGCACACUCAGAAAAAAAAUGUGGAAAGUAGGUAGACUGGAUUAUGAUUUUACAGCUUAAGCUUUUUUAAUUGGAAGAAAGAGGUAAAGAGGGGAAAUAGAGAAAAGAAGUCUUUUAGAAAUUUAGAACCACUUUUGUUUUCUGAUUCAACCUCCCGACCACAUUAUACAGAUGAAGAAUUUGAGGCUCAGGGAGGGGAAUUAGCCCUGUAGGGUUGGAUGGACGUGCACUCAUAUUUUUAUCCUAAAUGCCUACCUCUUUGCACUCUGCUAUCACAGCCUUCGCAAGUCUUCUCUAACAGCAGAAACUUCAGGAGAAAGCAGGCCGUUUUUGCAAUAAGAGGGCUUAGAGAGAGAUGCCUUUACUAGAUUUUCCCAAAGGAAGGAAGCUUUCUGCUGCUUGAUGUUAGGACUGGUCGUCCAGCUUGCUUUGUUUGGAAGUCAGGCCUAAACAAAAGAACCCGAAGGUGGGGCUCCUCCGUUGGAAGUCUGUCACCAGUACCAAGUGGGCACGCUGCAAUCUGUGUGCUUCCUUUCAGCCCUUGAACCUCAUGCCUUAUCUGCAUGCACUGGAGUAGCUGCACUUUUCUUCUUGUUCACCAUGACCCCUCUAGCGACCACACCCUCCCUGCCUUUCAGACUGUUUUCCUUCUUCUUCCUUUUGGAGUUUAUCAGGGUGUCAGCCUGCUGGCGAGGUUUCAGGGAUCAGUGGAGAAAGUGGAAUUAGACGGGAAAAAGUCACAAAUGCAAAUACUAUAGCUGUAAAAGUUUCUCUUCUGUUCUUUGCAUUACCACUUCAUUUGUGGCCAUUUUUAUUGAAAAUUAAAAUAUACUUCCUUCUGGAAAUGCUGUAAUAAUAAUAUCUACCUUUCAGGAACAGAAGAAAUAGAUUAUUCAGAGGGAUCUGACAGCUGGUAUGUGCUGAUGCAAAAAAGAGGAAACCAGACUUUUUAAUCUCCAUUUUCUUUGUUUAUCAUACUAGAAAGCUUUGUUCUCUUUCCAAGUUCACAGGCUUGUGUCCCAACCUUUGAGGACAGAGGGUACAUGCUCACUUGUUCCAGAUUUCACAGUGAAUUUUCCUACAGUGUCAGAAUGAGACCAAAACAGCCACAGGAAAGGUGAAAAUUAGAGAAAAACACUGUGAGCAGAAAGAUCUUCUGUUAAGAUCUGUUCUUCGGCAGGAUAUCAUGCAUCUAAAUUAAUAUCACAGUGAACUAAUACCAGCUAAUAGCAUGUUCACCAUCCACCUCCCCAGUUUUCUGUGGCCCUAACAAGAGUCAAUCUCUACAUUUCAUACUUAGAAGAUAACUUGGCCUCUGCCUCUGAGAAAGAGAAAACUAGGUGCCUCAGCAUUGUCUUUGGUGGAUAAGUGGUAAACAUUAGAAAUAAUCUCGUAUUCUUCACCAUUGUGUCCCUAGGUCCUAGCCCCAGUGGCUGCCAUUAACUAGAAGCUCAAUAAAGAUUUGUGGAAUAAAUGACUAGCUAUUCAAAAGCCCUCAAAACUACCUUUGCAGUUGAACUAGAACAAUUCUAAUACUUUAAAUCUUAAACCAUUAUGAAUGUGAUGUGUUCCUAUGAGAUAUUGUAGGGUUUUGAUUUCUAGAAGUCUCCAGAAACAAAGAGAUCUUCAUCUUUUGCAGAUAUCACCCUGGCUGAAGGUGAAAGUGUCUCUAGAGUCUAUUGCAGUGUCUGUACAUGGCAGUCACUUAACAAUUAUUAAAUGCAUAUGAGAGAGUGGCUUCCAAGUGGAUGGGGUGCCCUGUCUUCCUAACAAGUCUCUUCCAUCCAUGCCACUGCUCUGGAGUCUGCACCACCUCUUUGGGGCAAUUGCUCCCCAAUUGUGACUUCUAAAGUAGAUUUGCUAGAGCUGAGAGCAUUCAGUGUGCCAAGCCCUUGCCAUCGUUACCCAAAUGAUAAUCCAGCCUUUCCUACCAAUUUUCUCUCCUCGAGUUCUGGUCCACUCCAACCUGACCCACCCAAUAUAAAAUUGUUGUUUUAUGACUUUGAUGAUUUCUCAUUGUAUUCUAGGUAUGCAAUUGUAAAAUGAUGUUGCACAGUUUUUAGUCUGGGCAGUUUCUGAGUCAUUUUUAUGCACAAGUGACAGCAUAUUUAAAACUCAUAGUAUUAUGUAAAUUCUUUUUUUUUCCAGGUCAUACCAGCUGAGUCAUGGUUUGGACAAAAAGAAGUAGUUUAGCAUAGUCAAAAGAAUACAAGUUUAAUCCUGGGCCCUUCCCUUUCUAGCUACGUGAUCUUAGGGUACAUCCUAAAUCCAAUGGUAAAAGUCCUUGUAAUGAACAGAAAAGGAGAAGACAUGGAG
ensembl:lncRNA